UUUCUCAUCUUAAAUCUGUUACUCCUAAUUUAGAGAAAAUCAACUGUGUAUAUAAAAUACCAUGUCGAGACUGUAGCAUGAGUUAUAUUGGACAAACGUCACAACACCUAAAAAAUAGAAUUUCUGGUCAUCGUUCUAAUAUCAAAUGCCAUGUCACUGAAAGAUGCGCUUUAGCAGAUCACGCUUUGACCCUGGGUCACAAUUUCGAUUUUAACAACUCUAUAACCCUUGCUACAGAACCGAAUUGGUACAAACGCAUUAUCAAAGAAAUGAUACAUAUCUCUAAGAACAAAAGGAACUCGGUUAACAAACGUACAGAUAUCGAACAUCUUAGCCACCUAUACUCUAACAUUCUCUAGUCUACAUUAUCGUUGGUUCUCAAAACAUUAACGCCCCUUACUCCUGAUUGGUCACUGCCUUUGUACUCCAUGACUUUCGAGCACAGAUCAAAUUUCACACGUGAUCAACAACAUAGAUUUACGGAUUGAUCCCCGCUAACCUUCACUUCCGUCCGAAAUGCUGUACCACUAACAACAUCUAAGCAUGUACCGGUUGUCAUUUUUUAUUUUAUUUCCUGAGGAUGGUCGGCAGGGCCCGGCCGAAACGUCGAUUUUGUAUAUUCACGUUUUUCAACUAUUAAAUUCUUCUUCUUCCUGACCGGAA